GUAUAAUGACUCAAAUUGUUGGAUAUCCCUUUCCUCCGUUCAUGGAUAAAACACAAUAGUCUGAC